rnacentral:sRNA from 1 species
AUGUCACUAAUUGGAUGUUGGAAAGUAUGUAACAAUUGCAUAGAUCGUAACAAGUAAUAGUUGGGAACAGAUCAGAAAAAGAUGGCUCGAGUAAAAUUGUAUAGUAUCGUUUGGUUUAGCCAAAAGUGUUUUCGCUUGUCUUAACUCUUUAACGAUCUUGAGAUGAGCUUUGUACAUAUUUCUUGGAUUAAAAUUUUAUAUACCGACACUCUUCACCAUAUCCUUCCUAAUAAUUUCAGUGCUUUAGAUUUUUUGCUACUCAAAGUAGCAUUUCGAACUAUAAUCUAUUACUUAUGACGUGAAUGCAAUGGUCGAGACACUAGAAAGACCGGAUAUCAACCUAAAACAUCCAUAAUGAAACACAAUAAUUUUGAAAAACAUUAGUCAAUGAAGUAAAUCAAAGGUUGCUAGAGUAGUUGUUAAACUUGCUUCUAUAACAUUUUAUUUCAUUGCUCAGAUCACGGUCUUUCAUAUCUGGAAACAGAGAAACAAUGUGUUUUACAAUUCGCACUUGAUUUGAAUGCAAUGGUCGAGACACCAUAAACACCAUAAACACAAUAGU